UCCUCUCGCUUAGGAUAACGCAACAGGGAACACCAUCAUUCUUAGAACAAAACGUGCUUUGGAAGGUGCCCAGUUAAUUUCAUUGCGUUUGAUCAAUAGUCUAUUCAGGACAAAGUGAAUUUGAUUGUGAAUUUUCAGAUUUUUAGAUCGAGCAAAAAUGCAUUUGAAUCACUUCAUUCUGCAUUUUGUCUUCGUUUUUCUAGUUCUCGUUCGCACGACGGUUCGUAGUUAUUCAAUAAUAGAGCCAUCCACUUACGAGCCCAAAGUGGUUCCAAGAAAUUUCAAAGACGCUCGGCAAGCGUUACAAUAUGACUAUUUCCAGAAAGUACCAGCUAGGAAAAGCAACGCGCAACCUACCAGGAAAUUUACCUGGGAAAACUUUGGCACUCCAGAAAUACACUAUAACUUCUAAAUAAAAUGUCCCAUAAAACUUGAUUCAAAGCACUUCCGAUUGUACCACCGUAGUAAAUAAAACAUAUUUCUUAGGAA